CCUACGGGUGGCUGCAGUGAGGAAUAUUGGUCAAUGGGCGGAAGCCUGAACCAGCCAAGUAGCGUGCGGGAUGAAGGCCCUACGGGUCGUAAACCGCUUUUGCACGGGGAUAACACCCUCCACUUGUGGAGGUCUGCAGGUACCGUGCGAAUAAGGGCCGGCUAAUUCCGUGCCAGCAGCCGCGGUAAUACGGAGGAUGCGAGCGUUAUCCGGAUUUAUUGGGUUUAAAGGGUGCGUAGGCGGGCCUUCAGGCCGGCGGUAAAAUUGCGGGGCUCAACCCCGCCGAGCCGUCGGAACCGGGGGCCUUGAGUACCGGAGAAGUACGCGGAAUGCGUGGUGUAGCGGUGAAAUGCAUAGAUAUCACGCAGAACCCCGAUUGCGAAGGCAGCGUACCGGCCGGUCACUGACGCUGAGGCACGAAAGCGCGGGUAUCGAACAGGAUUAGAUACCCUGGUAGUC
rnacentral:rRNA from 1 species